rnacentral:rRNA from 1 species
AUUGAACGCUGGCGGCAGGCCUAACACAUGCAAGUCGAACGAGUGGCAGACGGGUGAGUAAUGUCUGGGACCCUGCCUGAUGGAGGGGGAUAACUACUGGAAACGGUAGCUAAUCCCGCAUACCAUCAGAUGUGCCCAGAUGGGCUUAGCUUGUUGGUGGGGUAACGGCGCACCAAGACGACGAUCCCUAGCUGGUCUGAGAGGAUGACCAGCCAAACGGGAACGGAGCCACGGUCCAGACUCCUAGGGGAGGCAGCAGUGGGGAAGAUUGCGCAAUGGGCGCAAGCCGGAUGCAGCCAUGCCGCGUGGAUGAAGAAGGCCUUCGGGUUGUAAAGUACUUUCAGCGGGGAGGCGGUACCUGCAGAAGAAGCACCGGCUAACUACGUGCCAGCAGCCGCGGUAAUUC